GGCGGACGGGUGAGUAGCGCGUGGGAAUCUACCCAGUAGUGGGGGACAACUACCGGAAACGGUAGCUAAUACCGCAUACGCCCUAUGGGGGAAAGGCUUCGGCCGCUAUUGGAUGAGCCCGCGUCAGAUUAGCUAGUUGGUAGGGUAAAGGCCUACCAAGGCAACGAUCUGUAGCUGGUCUGAGAGGACGAACAGCCACACUGGGACUGAGACACGGCCCAGACUCCUACGGGAGGCAGCAGUGGGGAAUAUUGGACAAUGGGCGAAAGCCUGAUCCAGCAAUGCCGCGUGUGUGAAGAAGGCCUGCGGGUUGUAAAGCACUUUCAGUUGGGGAGAUGAUGACGUUACCAACAGAAGAAGCUCCGGCUAAAUCCGUGCCAGCAGCCGCGGUAAUACGGAUGGUGCGAGCGUUAAUCGGAAUUACUGGGCGUAAAGCGCGC
rnacentral:rRNA from 1 species